GACCUGGGUUCAAAUCCCAUCUCCACUGGGAUCCACACUUUCUCCAUGUUUAAAAUGGGGGAACCCCUAUACCGCAGGGAGAUUCAACAGGGUUGGAACAGAACAUAAUGAAACACAUGCAUCAGCAGAAUGCAUUCAACCCCCUGAGCUAUUUGUACCAUCCAUGACAUCACACACCUGGGCUAAGCCUAGCAACAGAAGCAGGGAGCUUGAGUUCCAUCCUUGCCCUUAGUGGGGCUUCUCCUGACCCCCCCAUGUCCUUGCCCUUAGUGGGGCUUCUCCUGACCCUCCACCCCCGGCAUCAUUCUCUGGCACCUCCUUUACACGACUUUUCAUUCCAGAUGGCAGGUAUCCAUGUGUGUACCCCACACCACACCAGACCCUCAGCACCCGUAACUGAUCUCCGAGUUCUUGGUCUACUUGCUGGCCUGGGGAAGCACCUCCACCAAGUGGGCGGAGGGGGCAGCUGUUCCCGCCGUUGGAUAAAUUAGAAAACUAAGGCAUGGAGAGGCAAAGUGAGUUGCCAUGGUCACGGAGUAGGAGUCUGGAUCAAUGGGCUUGAACCCCAUUCCCACCCUUGCCCCCACAGCAGUGUUUCACUGGGCUGUUCCCCGAGUGAACAAAGUGUUCUUCGCCAGAUUUCAACAAGACUCCCUCUGGAGCCUCCUUGGGUCUCUACUCAGCACUCCCCACCCCAUCACUCUCCAGUCCCUCAUCC
rnacentral:lncRNA from 1 species